rnacentral:rRNA from 1 species
AUGGGAGACAGCAGUGGGGAAUCUUAGACAAUGGGCGCAAGCCUGAUCUAGCCAUGCCGCGUGAGUGAUGAAGGCCUUAGGGUCGUAAAGCUCUUUCGCCUGUGAUGAUAAUGACAGUAGCAGGUAAAGAAACCCCGGCUAACUCCGUGCCAGCAGCCGCGGUAAUUCGGAGGGGGUUAGCGUUGUUCGGAAUUACUGGGCGUAAAGCGCACGUAGGCGGAUUGGAAAGUUGGGGGUGAAAUCCCGGGGCUCAACCCCGGAACUGCCUCCAAAACUAUCAGUCUAGAGUUCGAGAGAGGUGAGUGGAAUUCCAAGUGUAGAGGUGAAAUUCGUAGAUAUUUGGAGGAACACCAGUGGCGAAGGCGGCUCACUGGCUCGAUACUGACGCUGAGGUGCGAAAGUGUGGGGAGCAAACAGGAUUAGAUACCCUGGUAGUCCACACCGUAAACGAUGAAUGCCAGUCGUCGGGCAGUAUACUGAUUGAUGACACACCUCGC